ACUCAAAUGAAUUGACGGGGACCCGCACAAGCGGUGGAGCAUGUGGUUUAAUUCGACGAUAAGCGAGGAACCUCACCCAAAUUUGACAUCUAGCUGCAGACCCUAGGAAACUAGGGAGCCUUCGAGGGUGCUAGACAGGUGCUGCAUGGUUGUCGUCAGCUCGUGUCGUGAGAUGUACCGUUAAGUCGGGAAACGAGCGCAACCCCUAUCCUAUGUUUUAUAUGUCAUAGGAAACUGCCCGCUUUAAGUGGGAGGAAGGCGGGGAUGACGUCAAAUCAGCAUGGUCCUUACAUUUGGGGCGACACACGUGCUACAAUGGGAGUUAUAACGGGACGCCAAACCGCAAGGUGGAGCAAAUCCCUUAAAAGCUCUCUCAGUUCGGAUUGAGGUCUGCAACUCGACCUCAUGAAGUCGGAAUCGCUAGUAAACGCGCAUCAGCCAUGACGCGUUGAAUACGUUCUCGGGUCUUGUACACACCGCCCGU
rnacentral:rRNA from 1 species